GUAUUGCAUUUUAACUUUUCUAUAAAUUAGCGAGGUGAUUUUUAUUGAACAACGUGUGAUCUUUUCUGGCUUAUAUACAACUCGAAAACGUAUGAUCGAAAACGAAUGACUUAAUCAUUAUCUUUUAACAGUUUAUAAGUUAUAAAAACUUAGAACAUAAAAGGAAAGAAUGAUACCGUACACAUUUUGGAGCAAACCAUCAAGCUGGAAUUUACAAAGGGCUUCGAGGAUUACCGGAACCACCUGACACGCAUCAUGGUUAAUUCACUAACAAUAAACAUAGAUAAAAAUAUCAGCUGAAUUAAAACCAUGUUCGUUAUAUGGUUGGACUGUCGUAUCGGCUUUACUCUCCCACGCGAAAGUCUGAAAGUUUUAUCUUAUCUGGUGACCGAAGUAAAAGCCAAGCUCGUUAUAUGAUUGAGCCAUUUGCUGACUUUCCUCUCCCUUUGGGAUAAAUUCUAUUUUUAAUCAAAUGGAGAUAUAAGUAUGAAGAAUAUUGGAUUACAAAAAAGGAUAUCUUAAAUGAAAUAAAAGCUACAGCUUAGCAGAACGAAGAAGUUGUGUCGUAAGGACCACAUCAACUACGCGAUUUGACCGGUCUUUGGAAUUCGCUACGAGAGAAUCACUGUAUUUAUGAUGCCGAGCAAUGACGCAAUAACCAACAACGCUAUCUCCCGAGGAUUGUCAUUAUUACGUUCGGAAGUUCAUAUUUGACGAUAAACAGGUAACUUGACAUUGCUAGUACUAUUCACAAUUCCGAAAGGCGACGCCGCUCAGCUGAGAAAGGUGAUGCCCCAAUCACGACUCCGCAUGAUCUUACAGCAGUGGAUUUUAAACAGGGCAGCAGAGAAUAUUACAAUUUAAAAACCUCCGACCCCAACAUGAUGGACGUGGUGAACCUCGAGAAAAAGACCUAUACCUGGCCUGGAGCUUGCCUUUUCUCUGAAGAUUUUCUACACAUUGGCUAACGCUGGUCGGUUACAGAUUUCAACACGAUCAAGCCCAUGCAUCUGGCACAUGCACAAAUACCUGGCUAACUAAUCCCAUACCCGACGUGGUAACCGAAAGAGAGGCCGUGGUUCGCCAUAUGAUAAAAUCGUUCUUCGUUUUCUAUGAAAUCAUAUCCUAACCAUAAGCAGUAAUGCACUCGGCGUCAUA